UACGUAGGGUGCAGGCGUUAAUCGGAAUUACUGGGCGUAAAGCGUGCGUAGGCGGUUUGCUAAGACAGGUGUGAAAUCCCCGGGCUUAACCUGGGAACUGCGCUUGUAACUGGCAAGCUUGAGUGUGGCAGAGGGGGGUGGAAUUCCACGUGUAGCAGUGAAAUGCGUAGAGAUGCGGAGGAACACCGAUGGCGAAGGCAGCCCCCUGGGCUGACACUGACGCUCAGGCACGAAAGCGUGGGGAGCAAACAGG
rnacentral:rRNA from 1 species